rnacentral:rRNA from 1 species
GGCCGCGUCGACGGGAAUUUCCGCAAUGGGCGAAAGCCUGACGGAGCAAGACCGCGUGGGGGAAGAAGGCUCUUGGGUUGUAAACCCCUUUUCUCUGGGAAGAAAGUUGUGAAAGCAACCUGGACGGUACCAGAGGAAUCAGCAUCGGCUAACUCCGUGCCAGCAGCCGCGGUAAUACAGAGACUGCAAGCGUUAUUCGGAUUCACUGGGCGUAAAGGGUGCGCAGGCGGCCAAGUGUGUGAGGCGUGAAAGCCUGGGGCUUAACCCCAGAAUUGCACCUCAAACUACAUGGCUAGAGCAUUGGAGAGGGUAGCAGAAUUCAUGGUGUAGCAGUGAAAUGCGUAGAUAUCAUGAGGAAUACCAGAGGCGAAGGCGGCUACCUGGACAAUUGCUGACGCUCAGGCACGAAAGCGUGGGUGAAACUUUUCCACUUAUUCCCGCCUGAUUAAAAGUCUUCUGCAUCACAUAUUCAAUUCCACGCUUGCUUAAAGGGGUUGCCCAAAUUGCUCAAAAAAAACNUGUUGCUCAG